GUAGGGGGAAUAUAUUCUAAGGACAUACCAUUUGCAGCAAGUCUGUUACUCUGGAAGAGACUAUUCCACUGUUUGGGUGGGUUUGCACCUUCCUCUGUUACAACCUUUGGUGGAUCUGAUGUUGUUGGUUGUUGCAUGCUGGUCUGGACUCCAUUUUCCUGCUCCUUCGGACCAGCUACUGCCUGGAUUGGAGGCUCUAUACUCUUCACUGUUGCUACUGGUAACAUUGGAACACUAGAUGGUUGUGGAUCUGGUAUUACUUGAGGUAAUGGAACAGUAACCACAGGAGGAUUCGAUGGAACAGUAGUACCUACCAUCUGCAUAGUAUUAACUGCAUUUUGGAAGACUAAAUCACUCGCAUAAAUUGGAACUAGUUCCUUUCUUGGNNN
rnacentral:lncRNA from 1 species